AUAGCGUAUAUUAAAGUUGUUGCAGUUAAAAAGCUCGUAGUUGAAUUUUGGACCUGGCUGGGUGGUCUUGGCUCACGUCAAGCACUGCCUCUGGUCGGGUCUUUCCUUCUGGGGAACCUGCGUGCUAUUAACUUAGUGCGCAGGGGAUCCAGGACUUUUACUUUGAAAAAAUUAGAGUGUUUAAAGCAGGCUUUCGCUUGAAUACAUUAGCAUGGAAUAAUAGAAUAGGACUUUGGUUCUAUUUUGUUGGUUUCUAGGACCGAAGUAAUGAUUAAUAGGGAUAGUUGGGGGCAUUAGUAUUUAAUUGUCAGAGGUGAAAUUCUUGGAUUUAUGAAAGACUAACUUCUG
rnacentral:rRNA from 1 species